AAAAUGUUGAAAGAGCAAAGCUGGCACUUUUGAGUGAUAAGCUUGGCUGUGAAACUGACUCUGACAGUGGUAACUGGCAGUCUGACCAUCUCCUAAUGAUGGUAGCGUAUAAGAAGUGGGAGAAAAUUUUGCGGGAGAAAGGAGUCAAAGCAGCUAAGCAGUUUUGCAGCUCAUAUUUCUUGAGCAGUUCUGUCAUGUACAUGAUAAGAGACAUGAGAGUACAAUUUGGAACGUUGCUAGCUGAUAUUGGACUCAUCAACCUCCCAAAAAAAGUCGGAGGUUGAUUGGAAAAAGAAAGAGAAGCUUGG
rnacentral:misc_RNA from 1 species